ACGUUUCUCUUCGCCCAUUCCUCCCCCGUCCCUCCCCCGAAACGUUUCCCUUCACCCCUUCGGUCCGCCCCAUUCAUCGAGGCCCUUCCCCUUGGCUCUUAUCUGCCGUACGUCGCAGCGGGCAGCCGCUGGGUUCCUCACCUCCGCCGCCGCCCUUACCCUCAUCUGCCUCCGCCCUUCCCAUUCUCCUAUCCCGCACCUGACUCCUCCAUGGGAUCUGACCACGAUUAACGCCCUGAUGGCCAAGCACAUCGAUGACGACUUAGCCGGCCAUCCCGAUUGAGGUCUCCCGUCGUCGUCCUGCCUUGGCGAUGACAGGAUUGGGGUGGCCUCCUCCUCCUCAAGGUUCGGGGCCCUGGUCGCCGUUCCUCGGAUCCGGGGCAGCCAUCCAUGGGGAUGCGGCCUCCAUGGGAUCCGGAUUGGAGAAUGCAGGGAGGAGAGAAGGGUGGAGUAUAGAAGAGGGAGCAGGAGGGGCACGGGAGAACUGGAUCGGGGGGUAGGGGCGCCUGGCCCUGGUGACGCAUGGGAGGACUGGGAGAGGGAGAGGCCGACAGGAGAGAUAGGGGGAGGGAGGAUUAGGGAUCGGGGCCCUUGAUGCAGCCCCGUGCCGCCAAUCCUCCUCGUCGGCCCGAGCCCCUGCUCCACCACGCACGCCCGCGCCGCCGGCCGCCGACCGACUCGCCCUGCUGCUCCUUGCUUUCAGCCAGUCUCCUGUAUGAUGGAAGUGGAAGAAGGCAACAGAUUUGUAGGAGGUUCAUAACAAAGCAAGGGUUAGUGAAGGAACCUGGAAGGAGUUGUAUUGAGCUGAGUGGCCAACUAAGCUAGAUGUACAGUCACUUUUUUGGUGCAACAAAAUGUGACCUCAAAUAAGGAAAGAAAUUUCUUGUUUGAAGCUUUAUACCAAGAGUUAUAUGAUACUUUUGUAUUGCCUAACUCCCAGCUUUGCUGUAUUUUAAAUUGUUAAGGCAUGUUCUUUUUGCAGCACUACAAGAUUGAGUUUGUGAACCUCUGAAUGUGCAUGAGAGAUGAGAACGAAACACGUGCUAAUUAAAUUAGUAAAUUAAAUUAUGAUGCUCAUUCUAGGAAGCUGAUUCUUGGUGGUCUUUUGCAGUCUGGUUCCUUCGGCCGAUUGAGGAAGAAAUGUGUUGGUAUCUUUCCAAUAGUUUUUUAUGGUGAGAAGGAUUUCAGAAUAACUGAACAAGGAAACCCCACCUGAACUGCAAGAAUCAACAUCAAUGUUCUAUCAGCUGAGUUGACUUGUGAUUGAUUAAGAAUGAAAUGUUUGAUCUAGGUUCCAGUGUAAGUAUACCAUCCUAGACCAAUCUGGUUUCUUCAGCCGAUUGAGAAAGAAAUGUGUUGGUUUCUUUCCAAUAGUUUGUUAUGGCGAGAAGGAUUCCAGAAGAACUAAACAAGCUACUGAAAGAUAACUUUUGUUUGAGCAAUUGAUUCUUUACAUGAAAUUUGCAGACAGGUAAGCACUGUUUCACCGUAUUCUUUUUGUCAUCAUUUUGUAGUUGUUCUUUUAGACAAAUAAGAUUAACAAAUGUUUGGCCAUGCUCAAAGCUGAUGAUUCAAAUGUUCUGGGCAAUAAUGCCGCUCAUGUUGUUUCUUUAUUUACUGGAUCUUAUAACCCUGACUCCACAUUCAAAAGGCUAGAGUCCUCAGUCAAUGAGCAUUGGCAAUGGACUAUCGACGAAUGAAAAUAUUGAUCUUGGCCAAAUAUAUUUAAGUAAAUCAAUGCUUAAUUUUCUAAUGUACUGUUUGAAACAUGAUAAUAACUUUUCCAGCUGAUGCAUGCAUUCAGUUUCAGGAGGCUAUAAAGAAGAUACUCGGCAUGUCAAAAAAUAAGAGUGUGCUUCCAAUCAGUAACUGGCCAAGAAUCCACGCUUAAGCAGUUCAGGCAAGGUCACUGAAAAUUGUUUCAGAUAUUUUUCAAAAUGGGAGAGGUGUUUAAAUAAAUUAAUAAUUGUACUUCCAAUUCUUGGACAACAUCGCGUAGUAAAAUCAUAUAUUUUUUUUGAAACAAAUCUGAGUUUUUUCCAGUGUAGUAUAGCUUUA